rnacentral:misc_RNA from 1 species
GAUGAAGAACGUAGGCGAAAUGCGAUACGUAAUGUGAAUUGCAGAAUUCAGUGAAUCAUCGAGUCUUUGAACGCACAUUGCGCCCCCUGGUAUUCCGGGGGGCAUGCCUGUCCGAGCGUCAUUGCUGCCCUCAAGCACGGCUUGUGUGUUGGGCCUCCGUCCUCCUCCCGGGGGACGGGCCCGAAAGGCAGCGGCGGCACCGCGUCCGGUCCUCGAGCGUAUGGGGCUUCGUCACCCGCUCUUGUAGGCCCGGCCGGCGCUUGCCGACACAUCAAUCUUUUUUCCAGGUUGACCUCGGAUCAGGUAGGGAUACCCGCUGAACUUAAGCAUAUCAAUAAGCGGAGGA